UGAAUAAUAUUAAAUAAUAAUAUAAUUCGAACUUAAUUUACAUACAUCAAAGUUUCCUUUCCCAGGUACGUGACCUUCAAAUACAUUCCUUACAAUAUCUGACAAUAGAUUCCAUUGUCUUACUAACUAUAACCAUUAACUCAUACUAAUUCUCAUUCGAACAGCUUUUCUUUUCCCUUGUUCAUGCCUGAGCCUUCAGGUCGAUCGUACGUAACUGAAAACAUUUAGUUUAAGCAAGGAUGAGCAUUUGAGUGCCCAGCAAGUAAUAGCAAUUAUAUAUAUAAGCUGAAAGAAUAUAAGUAUUCUCUUUCCAUAACACUUCUACAACGAAUCGAAAGUUGUGAAGUAAUCUGUACUGAUAAAACAUUCACAUAACAACUCUCCUUCAAAUUCUUGAAAUGAGGCUCCGGCUCUACCCAUGAAUAGGGUUUAAGAAACAUACUAUGAACAUUGUUUUUCAUUUUCGAAAAGGUUUAGCAGAAAUUCAUCCGUAAACCGUCAUAACUUACGGGCACGGAGGGUGAUCAGCCCCGUUGUACCCUGUAUUGAUCAAUACUACAUAACUUGAACGAAAUUCAUCGCUCACCCUUUGUCCGCCGAAGCGCAUAAAAAUUUUCCCAUUAUCGGGAUGUUCAUACAUGCCUGGUUCCAAACCCGAAGGUUUUUAAUCUUGCUCAACAAUAAUAUGUAAUUCAACAUAUAUGUAUACGGGUAAUUGACAAAGGUAUAUCAACAUGUGAAUAAAUGCCAUGAUUAUCCAAGUGGGGACACUUGUAUAACCAUUUAGAAAUCAACUUAACAGAAUAUAUAUCUGAGCUAACAUGUUGAUAAUCAAAGCGUACAUAAUCUGUACAGGAAUAGAAUAAUUCUGAAACUUCUUACUCAUGUCCAUUGCAUAAAGGAAAUGCAAAGGUAAGAUACUUGCCUGAUUCGCUGAUUACAAAUCUCAACUUAGGUUUUAUCUCUUUAUCACAACCUAUCAAUAAUCAGAUCAUUCGUUCGAUUAGAACAAUAUAUCAUAACACAUAGUACUGUCUAUUACAGUCAGCACAUAGUCUAAUCACGUCAUCACAUAAUCGCAGUGAUCAUACUUUUAGUUCAUAUUCUAUACUUGAAAUAUUUUUAUACAUUUUUCAAAUAUCUCAUCCAUGCUCUUACAGAAGUCUUUUCUUUCUAUUAUAGGGUCUGACAUUUGUCGGCGUACCGACAGCUUUAUCGGGUAAAUACUGAGUCUAAGACUCUUAUCCUAUACCUCAACAUCUGUAAAUAUCAAACAUUUUAUUUUUAAUCAUUUUCGAAUUUUCCAGAAAUUGAAAAAUUUAAAAUAAUUCAAAUCUGUCACUACCGGGCCUAUAGUGAUAUAACUGUUACUAUAGGUGUUCCUCAAAACUUCAUAACUUCAUAAUCGGUUCUCAAGUCAGCUAGUUUGGCCGGCUAUAACUUUCAAACAUCGGAAUCAUAAUUAAAUGAUUUAAACAUUAAACAAUUCCAUUAUCAUUAAUAAUUAAUUUAUAUUAAACUAUUAAUGAAACCAUUGCCAAAAUAUAAAAGUUAUUUAUAAUAACUCAAACUAUUUUUAAAACAUUUAUAUUACCCUUAAAUGAUUUUUAAAACAAUUAAAAUCAUUUUUAAAUAAUCACCAUUAAUAUAUAAAUAUUAAUGUACUAUUCAUCCAAAUAUUAAAAGUCAUUAAUUAUAACUUAAAAUAUUUUUAAAUCCUUAAUAUCCUCUUUAAAUGAUUUUUAAAUAAAUAAAACCAUUUUUAAACUAUUUAUUUAAUAAUAAUUAUUAAAUAAACUAAAUAUCAUUAAUAUUAUCUUAAUAUCAUUAAUAUUAAAUUAUUAAUGAAAUUAUCCUUUAAAUAUUAAAAGUUAUAUUUUAUAACUUAAAAUAUUUUUAAAUACCUUAAUUUCAUUUAAAAUGAUUUUUAUAAUAUUAAAAUCAUUUUUAAACUAAAUUAUUUAAUAUAAUCAUUAAAUAACUUUAAUAUCAUUAAUAUAUAAUUAAUUAAUGAAAUUCAUCACAAAAUAUUAAAAGUCAUGGGAAAUAACUUAAAAUAUUUUCUUAUACCAUAAUAUAAUUUUUCAUGAUUUUUCAUGAAUUAAAACUAUUUUUAAAUCAUUUAUUUAAUAUUAUAAUUAAAUAAAUAAAUACCUUUUAUAUUCCAAAAAUAUUAAAUAUUUAUGAAAUAUACUCAAAAUAAUUAAAAACUAUUUUUCAGACUUUAAAAUAAUUUUUCAUAAUUUAUUUGGUAUUUUUAAUAAUUAAAAUCUAAUUUUUCUAAUUUUUAAAUCAUUUUUCGGAAAAUCAGAAAUUAAAAUAAUUAAAACUGUCGCUAAAGGCCCCUAUAGUGACAGAAGUGUCGCUAUAGGUGUUCUUGAGCCUACCCAGAUCUUCAUAAGGCAGAACCGAGUGGCCUACUUUGACCGUGAAUAACUCUCUCAUCUUAACGAAUUUGGACAAUCUAUAAAUUGGGUCUUGUAGAGGAAAUACAAGACUACAAGAUCCAACAAUCAUAACCUCUAAACAAACAUCAGAUCUGGGAUAAAUCAGCCAUCAAAGUAGCUACCAAAGCUGUUCUUCACGAAGAACAGUUCGAGGUGCCUACUUUGGACCUCUAUAACUUGAUGAUCGUGUAACGUUUAUGUGAUCUAUCAAUUCCAGUGUGUAGACAACAUGUAGGACUACAACUCUAACACUUAACAUCAUCAUAAAAACAAGAAAUCAAGCAUCUAAAGUAUGGUCAAACCUUGUCAGAAAAAUUAACACUUAGAAAAUUCUGGGCUGCCCAGAAUUUUCUGGUCAAUGCCGGUCAACCCACUUUGACCUUAAAUAACUCUUAAUCCGUAAUAUAUAUGGACCUGAUUCUUUUUGGAGGUUAAAUACCACAUAACAAGAUACACAUAUCAACCUUUAGAACACAAAACACAUUAAAGAUAACCGAGAUAUAAGGCCUGACAUUUUCCAAAAUAAUAUUUUCUGGACACUUAGAAUAUUUUCUGGGUUUGAAGAACAGCCGGUCAAUGCCGGUCAACCCACUUUGACCGCUUAUAAAUCCCGAUCUACAAUAGCUAUGAACUUUAUUCCUUUUGGAGAUUAAAGACCACAUAUCAGGCUACCUAUAACAACUUUUAAAAAACAAAACUCGAGAUCGACCAAAGAUUUAUAGCCUCUGACAUUUGGUGAAAAAUAACAGAAUUCGGUUUUUCCAACUUGUUUAAAUCUUCAAAUUCGUGCACUUUGAUGUUAUGGGUUCAUGAUUUUACAACCCAGAACAUUAAUAGACUCUCUAUUACACUACUUUAAACAAUCAAUUGCAUCAAUUAACAUCGAAUCGAAGGAUUUCUAGAAUUUAGGAUUUCCUACCUUUUCAAGCUUGAUUUUUGAUUUCUGGCUUCUUGAUGCUUCUGAUUUGUUGUUUGUGAUGGUUGGGCUUUGUUUAGGGACUGAUAUGCUACAAUAAUUCGUAGGUUUUAGAGAGAGAAGCUUAAGGAUGAGAGUUG
rnacentral:lncRNA from 1 species